rnacentral:rRNA from 1 species
GAUGAACGCUGGCGGCGUGCCUAAUACAUGCAAGUCGAGCGAACAGACGAGGAGCUUGCUCCUCUGACGUUAGCGGCGGACGGGUGAGUAACACGUGGAUAACCUACCUAUAAUACUGGGAUAACUUCGGGAAACCGGAGCUAAUACCGGAUAAUAUAUUGAACCGCAUGGUUCAAUAGUGAAAUACGGUUUUUCUGUCACUUAUAGAUGGUUCCGCGCCGCAUUAGCUAGUUGGUAAGGUAACGGCUUACCAAGGCAACGAUGCGUAGCCGACCUGAGAGGGUGAUCGGCCACACUGGAACUGAGACACGGUCCAGACUCCUACGGGAGGCAGCAGUAGGGAAUGUUCCGCAAUGGGCGAAAGCUUGACGGAGCAACGCCGAGUGAGUGAUGAAGGUCUUCGGAUCGUAAAACUCUGUUAUUAGGGAAGAACAAAUGUGUAAGUAACUAUGCACGUAUUGACGGUACCUAAUCAGAAAGCCACGGCUAACUACGUG